AUUGAACGCUGGCGGCAGGCCUAACACAUGCAAGUCGAACGAGUGGCGGACGGGUGAGUAAUGUCUGGGAAACUGCCCGAUGGAGGGGGAUAACUACUGGAAACGGUAGCUAAUACCGCAUACCAUCGGAUGUGCCCAGAUUGGAUUAGCUGGUGGGGGGGGUAACGGCUCACCAAGGCGACGAUCACUAGCUGGUCUGAGAGGUUGACCAGCUAAACGGGAACUGAUACAGGGUCCAGACUCCUACGGGAGGCAGCAGUGGGGAAUAUGGCACGAUGGGCGCAAGCCUGAUGCAGCCAUGCCGCGUGUAUGAAGAAGGCCUUCGGGUUGUAAAGUACUUUCAGCGGGGAGGCGUUACUCGCAGAAGAAGCACCGGCUAACUCCGUGCCAGCAGCCGCGGUAAUUC
rnacentral:rRNA from 1 species